rnacentral:rRNA from 1 species
ACUCAAAGGAAUUGACGGGGACCCGCACAAGCAGUGGAGUAUGUGGUUUAAUUCGAAGCAACGCGAAGAACCUUACCAGGUCUUGACAUCCCUCUGAAUCCUCUAGAGAUAGAGGCGGCCUUCGGGACAGAGGAGACAGGUGGUGCAUGGUUGUCGUCAGCUCGUGUCGUGAGAUGUUGGGUUAAGUCCCGCAACGAGCGCAACCCUUGACUUUAGUUGCCAGCAGGUAAGGCUGGGCACUCUAGAGUGACUGCCGGUGACAAACCGGAGGAAGGUGGGGAUGACGUCAAAUCAUCAUGCCCCUUAUGACCUGGGCUACACACGUACUACAAUGGCCGGUACAACGGGAAGCGAAGCCGCGAGGUGGAGCCAAUCCCAGCAAAGCCGGUCUCAGUUCGGAUUGCAGGCUGCAACUCGCCUGCAUGAAGUCGGAAUUGCUAGUAAUCGCGGAUCAGCAUGCCGCGGUGAAUACGUUCCCGGGUCUUGUACACACCGCCCGU